AUGCCCGGGGCGGUUGGAGGCUCCCGGGCUCCCGCUGACUCAUCAGAAAGGCCUGCCGCGCGGCCCGGGGGGCGGGGGAACGUGGGGGACCGCGGGGAGCUGCCGGGCAGGCGGCAGCCGAGGUCGUUUGAGGCGCGCAGAGCCUCCGGAAAACCCCACGGAGACGGCUGCGCGGGGGCGGGGCGAUCGGCACUGACCAGGUCACCUGCAGCGCGGGCUGACGGCGGGCGACUGAAGGAGGGAGUAAGUCUCCCACCCCCAGCAGCCGGUGGCCGCUUCCGAAGCCUGCCCCCUUCCACUGCCGAGCGGCGCCCCGCGGGUCCUCAGCCAGCGCGCCCGAAGCGCCCCCGCCCCGUGUCGCUCGCGCUGCGUUAUGGGGAGAAGGCGGUUCCUGAGCACCAGCGCGGGCCUUGGUGACACCGGAGGUCGCUGGGGUCUUCCCCCUCCCCUUAAGACUCUGGGUCUGUCUGUGGGAAGAGCUUUCAUUCCCCACCUCACUCUACGCCGACCCUCUCCGGGGGAGGCUCCACUGGCACUGUAGACACCACGUGCUGGGUAAAAAGGCCUGGUCCCAGCGCUUUCCUGUCACUGACUGCUAACCCCAAGGAGCCGUGGCACUCAGGAAAUGCGGCAGGGGGCUGGAGAACUAUCAGGAAGGGGUGUGGGCAGAGAAGAGGCUUCCACCCUGUCUUGGAACACCGACACAGUCCAUGGCAUUCACAAGAGGAGAGUCUCCGAGUCUGGGCCUUGCCACUCCUCACUCAGCAUCUGACCAUCCCCACCUCCUGGAUCUACAGGGUUCAUAGAGGAGGACCCAGAAGAGGGAAAGUCAGGCUGAGGAACAUGGCCUCCCUGCUGCAAGGGAAAUGACAUCGGUUACCAAGGAGGUGACCUGCUAUCCUUUUCCAAGACUGAAAAGCAGAAAUAUGGCCUGAGCCUAGAGGGUCUAAGAGAACAAUAGGAAGAAUUUCCUGACAAAGGACAAUGUUGCCUAAAGGACCCAUGAAGCUCCGUGAAAAUAGGAGACUCCUGAGCACCAGACCCUUCUCCACCAGGCAGUGUUUUUCCCAUAUGACAGGUGAGAAAACUGAGGCUGAGAGACAUGUAAUAACUUGCUGAAGCAGUAACCAGCACGCCAUAUAGCUGAAAUCUGUAGAUCAGCAGUUAAAAGUGGCAGGGCAAGUCCUCUCUGACUUUCAGCUCUAAGAGCCUAGGAUUGUGUGUUUUUCUGCUUAAGCCUGGGAAUCAGAGUCCUACAAAAGCCGCGCCUAAUCCUGGGGGUGUGGGCUUUAAGCCCAGAGAGAAAGCAUGUUAUUGGAAUACUCAUGCACUUUUCUCCCUUUGAAUCCCACCACGGAAAGAAAAUUCUGUGACGUGUACCCAGUAUUUAUUGAAGGGUAUUUCCUAGCAAGAAAAUGAGGACGACUGGCCAGGCACGGUGGCUCACGCCUGUAAUCCCAGCAUUUUGGGAGGCCCAGGCAGGCAGAUCACCUGAGGUCAGGAGUUCGAGACCAGCCUGACCAACAUAGAGAAACCCCGUCUCUACUAAAAAUACAAAAUUAGCUGGGCGUGGGAUGGCGCAUGCCUGUAAUUCCAGCUACUCCUGAGGCUGAGGCAGGAGAAUCGCUUGAACCCGGGAGACAGAGGUUGCAGUGAGCUGAGAUCAAGCCAUCGCACUCCAGCCUGGGCAAGAGUGAGACUCUGUCAAAAAAACAAAGAAAAUGUGGUACAUAUAUACUAUUGGAGUACUAUUUAGCCGUCAAAGAAAAAAAAAGAGAAAGAAAGAAGGAAAGAAAGAAAAAGAAAGAAAAUGAAGGCGAUUGUCAACAGCCUCUGGAAAUACAGAGCAGGGUCCAGAAGAUGGCCCCUUCUUAGAUGGCGGGCUGGACAGUGCUGCUCCUUCUUAGCCACUGGCGGCAGAAAGACAAAGCCUGGUAAUUCUGUUCUUGGGAUUCUCCCUGUCACCUCUCCUUGUAGGUCACAAGCUUCCUGAUGCGACAGCUCGUGGGACUACUAGAAGGAAAGAUACUCCUUUUCCCAUUUUACAGAUCAGGAAACUGAGACUGGACAGAAACACCACCAGGAUUGAACUGUGAAUGGAUCUGACUCCAAUCCACAAACUCUUUACCUGGUCUCGAAAAGAGGCCCUGGCAACCUACUACGGACCAGGGGGGAACCCGCCCGCCGUCACAGGCCGGGCUCUCCCCGCUGCGGGGCGGCCCGGGCGCGGCGGGACAGGGAGCGGAAGGAACGGGCUUGGCGCGCACUCGCGGAGGCCCAGGCAGGAUUCGAGCGCCAGGGAGGCGCCCAUUUCCCUUCCCCCGCGCCUGGGAACGCGGUGCUGGGGGCGGGGCCCGACCGCUGCCCCCUCCAACCGCCUCGACCGCCAGGUGCCCCGAAGCCUGGCCUCCCCUCCCACCCCCGCGCCUGUUCCCGGCGCAGCCCGAGCCUCGGUGGUCACGUCUCCCCAUCCGGCCCCAAAGUACUAACCAGCCGCAGCCGCGCCGACCCCGCGCUGGGUGGGAGGGCGCGGGGAGGGCGGGGGAGGGCCGGGAGGGCGCGGAGAGGGCGGGGCAAGGAGGUGAGGGGAGGGCAGGUUGCCCGGGCCCCGCCCGCUGCGCCCGGGUCGACCGGGGAGAGGCGCGGGCGAGGCGCAGCGCCGCAGCCACCGCCCCUGCCGGGCGCUCGGCGAGCGGGGGCAGGGCGGGGAGAGGCCUGGCCGGGGAUGCCGCGAGGCCGCGCCUCUAGGGCUGUGCGCGGGCGGGUGUUGCUGGGGAGAAAAGCGCGCUACGGCCCCGCCCGAGUCCCGCGGGCACAGCGCUCUCUGCUGGUGUGGGUCGAGAACUGCAUGAGACUAAUUAAAGACCAUCAUCCACUUAAAAAAAAAAAAACCUAAUUCGAAUCGGAACCU